rnacentral:rRNA from 1 species
AACGAACGCUGGCGGCAUGCCUAACACAUGCAAGUCGAACGAGACCUUCGGGUCUAGUGGCGCACGGGUGCGUAACGCGUGGGAACCUGCCCUUAGGUUCGGAAUAACUCCCCGAAAGGGGUGCUAAUACCGGAUAAUGUCUUCGGACCAAAGAUUUAUCGCCUUUGGAUGGGCCCGCGUUGGAUUAGCUAGUUGGUAGGGUAAAAGCCUACCAAGGCGACGAUCCAUAGCUGGUCUGAGAGGAUGAUCAGCCACACUGGGACUGAGACACGGCCCAGAAUCCUACGGGAGGCAGCAGUGGGGAAUAUUGGACAACGGGCGAAAGCAUGAACCAGCAAUGCCGCGUGAGUGAUGAAGGCCUUAGGGUUGUAAAGCUCUUUUACCCGGGAUGAUAAUGACAGUACCGGGAGAAUAAGCGCCGGCUAACUCCGUG